GGCCCACAGGGAGUGUAGGGGAGAAGGAGCUGACCUCGAGAGCCUUUUCACUUCUUUUUUUAAAAAGAAAAAGAAAGAAAAAGUUUCUGAGUGAAGACUUCGCAAAGUCAGGCACCAAAGUAGCGCAGAGAAGUGUCCACCACCGCGAAAGCGGUUCGGCGAUCAAACGGGUAGCGCCUGUUCUUGACCUUUGCCCUCACGGUUUCCUGCGCCUCCAAGACAAGCGACCCCAACAGGAGGGAACUGCGCUUAGCGUGUAGAUCUUGAGCUGGCACACGCUUCGGGUCCGCAGCGAGAACUCCUGGCUACCGUUUACUUAGUGGAAAUUAACUAAAACCAACGCGUAAGAAAUUGUGACCCACGUUCGCCUGAGUCUGGCCUCUGGAAUCCACAAAAAGCCACCCCGCUCCCCAGUGACCCCAAGAUUAUGACCACCAGUCCAGUCUGACGGCUCUAGAAGCAAGAGCCGCCGCCUCUUUGAAGUCCGGGAUGCAGAGGGGACAUUCAGUGCUCACCUGGAGAGGCUCGCCAGUACCCCAAGGCGCCCACACUCGCGAAGGCCGAGAAGGGGAGGUGGGGGGAGGAUUGUGUCCCACAGGCCUGCGGAGAGCGCGUGGCGGGUAGGAGAAGAGGGUGUCUCCGAGAGGGACGCUCCCUCGGGCCCGCCCCCUACCCUCACUGCGAGGACGCCCCCAAAGAGUCGCGCGCUCUGCCUAAUCUGCUAGGGCUGCGGUGUGAAUGGAGCCGCCGAGACUCCUGACUCCUCCUCCUCCCCCGCCGCCGGCCCCUCUUAUUUGAGCUUUGGGAAGCUGGGGGUAGCCAGGCAGCUGGGGUAAGGAGUUCAAGGCAGCGCCCACACCCGGGGGCUCUCCGCAACUCGACCGCCUAUCCGCUCCCCCCUUCCCGCCCUCCCUCCCACUCAUUC